rnacentral:lncRNA from 1 species
UGAUAGAAAAUUCUUUAUACUAUAUAAAACAAGAUCAAUAUCUUUGAUUUAAAAUUUUAAUGUCAUAUUAUUACAUUUGUAAGAUUUUUAUUUUCAGCCGUUGAUUUUGAGCCCUUCGUUCUUCACUAGGCAAAUGAUAUCGUAAAAUCGUAAAAUUUAUUUCCUAGGUACUUCAAAUACUCUAGAUCAAAUUUAACGGAGCCGAUCGACGAUUCGAAAGUCGCAACAUCGAAAACGAGAUGGAAGCACGGAAGGCUUCGUGCUUCCGAUAGCAUAGUACUCACUCUCUCUUAUAUAUAUUAUAUAUUAUAUAUAUAUAUAUAGUCCGGCUACUAUACUAUCGAUAGUACCAAGCUCUUGGUACUAUUGAGUUUUCUACCGUUAGAUCUACCUGUUGAUCAUUUCCACCCGUUAGAUUAUACUAUUAAACCAACCACCCACUCAACCCUAGGGGACCACUAUCAAUUUAACCGGGGACCACUAUCAUCCUAACCGCACAUCCUUUCAUCCAACGGCUAAAAACUCAAUAGUACCAAGGGCAUGGUACUAUUGAUAGUAUAGUAGCAUAAUUCUAUAUAUAUAUAUAUAUAUAUGUGAUCAAAUCUUGAUCGCAUUUCAACGCACUUUUUAAAAUUC